rnacentral:rRNA from 1 species
AGUGAACGCUGGCGGUAGGCCUAACACAUGCAAGUCGAACGGCAGCACAGUAAGAGCUUGCUCUUACGGGUGGCGAGUGGCGGACGGGUGAGGAAUACAUCGGAAUCUACUUUUUCGUGGGGGAUAACGUAGGGAAACUUACGCUAAUACCGCAUACGACCUACGGGUGAAAGCAGGGGAUCUUCGGACCUUGCGCGAUUGAAUGAGCCGAUGUCGGAUUAGCUAGUUGGCCGGGUAAAGGCCCACCAAGGCGACGAUCCGUAGCUGGUCUGAGAGGAUGAUCAGCCACACUGGAACUGAGACACGCUCCAGACUCCUACGGGAGGCAGCAGUGGGGAAUAUUGGACAAUGGGCGCAAGCCUGGUCCAGCCAUACCGCGUGGGUGAAGAAGGCCUUCGGGUUGUAAAGCCCUUUUGUUGGGAAAGAAAAGCAGCAGGUUAAUACCCCGCUGUUCUGACGGUACCAAAAGAAUAAGCACCGGCUAACUUCGUG